rnacentral:rRNA from 1 species
UACGUAGGUGGCAAGCGCUAUCCGGAAUUAUUGGGCGUAAAGCGCGCGCAGGUGGUUUCUUAAGUCUGAUGUGAAAGCCCACGGCUCAACCGUGGAGGGUCAUUGGAAACUGGGAGACUUGAGUGCAGAAGAGGAAAGUGGAAUUCCAUGUGUAGCGGUGAAAUGCGUAGAGAUAUGGAGGAACACCAGUGGCGAAGGCGACUUUCUGGUCUGUAACUGACACUGAGGCGCGAAAGCGUGGGGAGCAAACAGG